CCUGAGCUUGGGCUAUAUAGAACAUUGCCAGGAAGCAUUGCCAAGGGGCCAUAGCCCUUCCUACCAGGUGUGCAGCACCAGAAGCACUCUCCUGAUUCUGAAAGAAAAUGAUGCCAGAAAAAAAGAUUCCCUCAUAUGUGCACCAUCUCACCACUCUCAAGAGAGAAAAUCUCACCUGCUUAACAUAAGCAUAUAGAACCCCCAGUAUACUGGAUCCAAGAAGAAGCACUUUUAGACACAUCAUAGUACAAACAUCAGACAUGAAUAGCAAGGAACUGACUUUAAAACCCACAAAAUUAAAGAAGGAGCUAUA